rnacentral:rRNA from 1 species
CAGCCGCCGCGGUAAUACGUAGGCGGCAAGCGUUGUCCGGAAUUAUUGGGCGUAAAGGGCUCGCAGGCGGUUUCUUAAGUCUGAUGUGAAAGCCCCCGGCUCAACCGGGGAGGGUCAUUGGAAACUGGGAAACUUGAGUGCAGAAGAGGAGAGUGGAAUUCCACGUGUAGCGGUGAAAUGCGUAGAGAUGUGGAGGAACACCAGUGGCGAAGGCGACUCUCUGGUCUGUAACUGACGCUGAGGAGCGAGAGCGUGGGGAGCGAACAGGAUUAGAUACCCGCGUAGUCCCUGUCUCUUAUAC